AGAACUAAAGCACCUUGCAAGGAAUGAAGUUGGUUCUUGAAGUCCGUGCUGACUGGCUGGGCGCAUUUGCGCAUUUGCUUCUCUGGCUGCAAAAUGGCCCGCAACAGCACUCACUAAUUUGUUGCUAACUUCAGGAACUGUGCGGACAGGUCUCUGAGGCUUCUGAGCCGCGCUAUGUCCAGUAGAUCUGGGCGCCUCAGAACCUGUCACAGCCGACGGAAGCGUUUAUCUGAGUUUCUUGUUUCUUCCCAACCUUUUGAUUUUCGCACCAUUACGCGCUCAACUAUGCCUCUUCUUUUGUCCUAUGGUCUCAACUAAUUAAAGGAAGAAAAGCAAUGCAUGUGUGUGUGUAAUUUUAAAGAAACUAUGCUGUCUUAUAGAAAACCAAACCAUCAUUUUUAUCUUUUGUACCAGGUAUUCAAGUAUGUUUUGAGCACCGACGGGCUGUGAACUGGACUGUGCUGAAAGCUCCUCUCCCUCUUCUCUCUUUAAGCCCUUUAUAUUUGACAUCAGCUUCCCCCACAUUCUCCAAAGCUUCUCUCACAAAUAAAGGUGCUCAGGCUGAGAAGAUUCAAGGAAAGGGUUCCUCACGUAGUUAUACAGUUGUGUUCCAGGGGAAGGAAAAUAUUGUUCGGUUUUGUUCUGCAAUUCCCCACGGUGGUUUUCGCUUCUAGAGACCUCACCAGAAACUGAUGCCAGCACCAUGCUUCCUGUAAAGCCUCCAGAACCAUAAGCCAAUUAAACCUCUUUCUUUAUAAAUUACCUAGCCUUGGGCAUUUCUUUACAGCAAUGCAAAAAAAAACAAAAAUGCUGGUUUCCACAGCCAUUCUUUAUCUUCAAAGAAUUUGGUAAAAUCUGGG
rnacentral:lncRNA from 10 species